GACGAACGCUGGCGGCGUGCUUAACACAUGCAAGUCGAACGGUGAAGCCCUUCGGGGUGGAUCAGUGGCGAACGGGUGAGUAACACGUGGGGAAUCUGCCCUGAACUCUGGGACAAGCCUUGGAAACGAGGUCUAAUACCGGAUAUGACCGUCUCCCGCAUGGGGGUCGGUGGAAAGCUCCGGCGGUUCAGGAUGAUCCCGCGGCCUAUCAGCUUGUUGGUGGGGUAACGGCCCACCAAGGCGACGACGGGUAGCCGGCCUGAGAGGGCGACCGGCCACACUGGGACUGAGACACGGCCCAGACUCCUACGGGAGGCAGCAGUGGGGAAUAUUGCACAAUGGGCGAAAGCCUGAUGCAGCGACGCCGCGUGAGGGAUGACGGCCUUCGGGUUGUAAACCUCUUUCAGCAGGGAAGAAGCGCAAGUGACGGUACCUACAGAAGAAGCACCGGCUAACUACGUGCCAGCAGCCGCCGUAAAAC
rnacentral:rRNA from 1 species